rnacentral:rRNA from 1 species
GCGAGUUUUAACUGAGCGUUCAGUUACUUGACGUAGACCCGAAACCGGGCGACCUACCCAUGAGCAGGAUGAAGCGAAAGUAAAAUUUCGUGGAGGUCCGAACCCACGAGCGUUGAAAAGCUCGGGGAUGACUUGUGGGUAGCGGUGAAAUUCCAAUCGAGCCCGGAGAUAGCUGGUUCUCCCCGAAAUAGCUUUAGGGCUAGCCUCAAGGUGAGAGAUACGGAGGUAGAGCACUGAAUGUCCUAGGGGGUAUUGCACCUACCGAAGACUAUCAAACUCCGAAUGCCGUCAUCUUAUACUUGGGAGUCAGACUGUGGGUGAUAAGAUUCAUAGUCGAAAGGGCAACAGCCCAGAUCGUCAGCUAAGGUCCCUAAAUGUAAGUUAAGUGGUAAAGGAUGUGGGAUUGCACAGACAACCAGGAUGUUGGCUUAGAAGCAGCCACUCAUUCAAAGAGUGCGUA